CUAGCAUAUCAAUAAGCGGAGGAAAAGAAACUAACGAGGAUUCCCCUAGUAACUGCGAGUGAAGCGGGAAAAGCUCAAAUUUGAAAUCUGGCGGUCUUUGGCUGUCCGAGUUGUAAUCUAGAGAAGUGUUACCCGCGUUGGACCGUGUAUAAGUCUCCUGGAAUGGAGCGUCAUAGAGGGUGAGAAUCCCGUCUUUGACACGGACUACCAAGGCUUUGUGGUAUGCUCUCAAAGAGUCGAGUUGUUUGGGAAUGCAGCUCAAAAUGGGUGGUAAAUGCCAUCUAAAGCUAAAUAUUGGCGAGAGACCGAUAGCGAACAAGUACCGUGAGGGAAAGAUGAAAAGAACUUUGGAAAGAGAGUUAAACAGUACGUGAAAUUGCUGAAAGGGAAACGCUUAAAGUCAGUCGCGUUGGCUUGAAAUCAACCUUGCUUUUGCUGGGUGUACUUUCUAGUUGACGGGUCAACAUCAGUUUUGACCAGUGGAUAAAGUCAAUGGGAAUGUGGCUCCUUCGGGAGUGUUAUAGCCCAUAGUCGCAUACAUUGGUUGGGACUGAGGCUCUCAGCACGCCUUUAUGGCCUGGUUUCGACCAAGUUCGUGCUUAGGAUGUUGGCAUAAUGGCUUUAAUCGACCCGUCUUGAAACACGGACCAAGGAGUCUAACAUGCUUGCGAGUAUUUGGGUGGAAAACCCUUGUGCGUAAUGAAAGUGAAAGUUGAGAUCCCUGUCGUGGGGAGCAUCGACGCCUGGACCAGAGCUUUUGUGACGGAUCCACGGUAGAGCACGUAUGUUGGGACCCGAAAGAUGGUGAACUAUGCCUGAAUAGGGUGAAGCCAGAGGAAACUCUGGUGGAGGCUCGUAGCGAUUCUGACGUGCAAAUCGAUCGUCAAAUUUGGGUAUAGGGGCGAAAGACUAAUCGA
rnacentral:rRNA from 1 species